GGCCCCCAGGCCUGGGGAUGGAGGGAACAGGAACGGGGCUGGCUGGGAGGGAUGGGGAAAGCCCAGGAUUUGGUCACCCCUGGGGCAGCAGAAGGACAGGUGGAGGGGUGCAGGUGGCACCCAGCACCCCGCCAGGUUAAAACCCUCCAAAUUCACCGUUCCUCCUCUCUCCCUGGAGCGCCCGGGUGGCGUUUCAGCCCUCCCCGUGUCCCAGGAGAGAAGGGAAACCAAAGCACCGCCAGGCCCCGGGGCACGGCCGCAUCCUGCCCCACUCACCUGCGGCACCGCUGGGGACCUCGUCCCGGGCAGGGCGAGAGAAAGCGUCUGAGGGUCUUAGGGAGAAUCGCCUUCAUAUAUACGGGGAGGGGAUGGGUUACGCGUAAAUCUUCUUACCCCCCCUGGCAGGGAGCGGAGAAAUUGCUGGAAAGGUGCAGGGGGAGCGGGGCCGGGUGGUCUGGGGGCUCCCGCGGUCGGAUCCUGCCCAGGGGCGGCUCUGUUGCCCCGCAGCCCCCCCCCAGCCCUUGCUCCCCCCAUGAUGGAGGAAAUUUCCUCCCGUGGAGGAGGAAAUUUCCCCCCAUGGAGGAGGAAAUUUGGGGCACGGAAGGGAAAGAGAUGGAGCGACCGAUCCCCGCCUGGGGGCACAUCCCCUUGUGCUUUUUCGCGCCCGGGAGGACGAGGGCUCGAUGCCCCGUGAUUUAUCUGAGCGUGAUUCGAGAUUCAAAGGAAAACAGGGGGGGGGAAAAAAAGGCAAAAAAAGGGACGGGGGCGAUGGGAGGCGGCGGAGGGGAGCGCGCCCCACGCCGUGCCCUUCGGGGCGGGCUCGCUGCGGGCUCAGCCAUGGGCCCGGCGCCGUCCCAGACGGGUAAAUACAACCGGGGCAAUCCGGGGUGUUUGGAUUCGAGCAGAAAUGCAAACAGGCCCCUGAGAACAGCAGAUACAAAGGGCAGGAGGCGAAAAACCGCCCCGAGGGCUUGCUCGGCACCAAGCGGUUAUGAAAAUGACUCUUGCCUUUUCUUCUUGCCUUUUCUUUCCUCCUUGUUUGCUCUCCUCAUUUGCUUUUCUCUCCCCGCUUCUUUAUUCUCCCUCAUUAGCGAGGGCCUCGCCGCCUCUUUCAAGUCUCUUGCCUGCAAUCCCGCCGUGCCAAGGGCUGCGGGGUUAGGGNNNNNNNNNNNNNNNNNNNNNNNNNNNNNNNNNN
rnacentral:lncRNA from 1 species